UAUUAGUACUACUGCUAAUACAAGUACUGUAGUGUUGAGUGCGAGCAGCGAUGGCCUAUUUUAACAGCGAAAACGUGUGUCCCCUGCAUCCACCCUGAGCCAACCAUCUCAUUCCUAAUCACGUGAUUCACCAUGUGACUCAAAAGUUUCCGGCGGCGCGGUCGACUCGCUGGAUGUUUUUCUUCUAGUUGUUGAAGGGUAUUUACCUAUUAUUAAGGAAACUGCUUCAAUGCGCAGGAAGGCCACGAGGCAGCUUUGAAGUUUAUGGAAGGAGCAAUACAAAAAGGUAAACCUGAACUUUGCUUACGCGUAUACUCUUCUCGGACACGAAUAAGUCGCAGGGGAAUAACCUCUCGAAAGCAGCCAGGCAUUUCCAUUCGGCAGUCCACCAGGACUCCCGCCACUACAACGCUUGGUUGGGCCCUCGCACGAGGCGGCAGGUGGGGGAGGAAGGGGAGGGGGGAAUUUAUUGAUUUGAAAUUCAUCUUAAUUUGAGCCACUAGGAGCCUUUUUCAUACUUUCUGGUAUCAGUUUAGACCGCUUAGCAAUAUGAACAAAAUACAAAAGGUUUUAGGCGGAAGUUUUUCCAGUAAUAAUAAAAAUAAUAAUUC